GGGACGAACGCUGGCGGCGUGCUUAACACAUGCAAGUCAAGGGGGCCCAGCAAUGGGCAACCGGCGAACGGGUGCGUAACACGUGAGCAACCUACCGAACUGUGGGGGAUAGCCGGCCUAACGGCCGAGUAAUACCGCAUACGCUCUCAGUGAGGCAUUUCAUUGAGAGGAAACCUACGGGACAGAGUCGAGGGGCUCGCGGCCUAUCAGCUAGUUGGCGAGGUAACGGCUCACCAAGGCAACGACGGGUAGCUGGUCUGAGAGGAUCGGCCAGCCACAGUUGGGACUGAGACUACGGCCAGACUACCGACGGGAGGCAGCGAGUGGGGAAUCGUUGCGCAAGUGGACCGUAACGGCUAGGACGCGACGGCGACCGCCGGCGUAGGUGGGAUAGAAGCUCGUUCGGAAGUAGUAAACCA
rnacentral:rRNA from 1 species